rnacentral:rRNA from 1 species
GACGAACGCUGGCGGCAUGCUUAACACAUGCAAGUCGAACGGAAAGGCCCUGCAUUUGUGGGGUGCUCGAGUGGCGAACAGGUGAGUAACACGUGUGUAAACUGCCCUUGUCUUUGGGAUAACUUCAGGAAACUGGGGCUAAUACCGGAUAGGAGCUCCUGCUGCAUGGUGGGGGUUGGAAAGAUUCGGCGGUUGGGGAUGGACUCGCGGCUUAUCAGCUUGUUGGUGGGGUAGUGGCUUACCAAGGCUUUGACGGGUAGCCGGCCUGAGAGGGUGACCGGCCACAUUGGGACUGAGAGACGGCCCGUACUCCUACGGGAGGCAGCAGUGGGGAAUAGUGCACAAUGGGCGGAAGCCUGAUGCAGCAACGCCGCGUGCGGGAUGACGGCCUUCGGGGUGGAAACCGCGUUCGCCUGUGACGAAGCGUGAGUGACGGUAAUGGGUAAAGAAGCACCGGCUAACUACGUG